GUGGUGAAUCUUGCGCAAUGGGCGAAAGCCUGACGCAGCCAUGCCGCGUGAAUGAUGAAGGUCUUAGGAUUGUAAAAUUCUUUCACCGGGGACGAUAAUGACGGUACCCGGAGAAGAAGCCCCGGCUAACUUCGUGCCAGCAGCCGCGGUAAUACGAAGGGGGCUAGCGUUGCUCGGAAUUACUGGGCGUAAAGGGCGCGUAGGCGGACAGUUUAGUCAGAGGUGAAAGCCCAGGGCUCAACCUUGGAAUUGCCUUUGAUACUGGCUGUCUUGAGUACGGGAGAGGUGGGUGGAACUCCGAGUGUAGAGGUGAAAUUCGUAGAUAUUCGGAAGAACACCAGUGGCGAAGGCGACUCACUGGCCCGUUACUGACGCUGAGGCGCGAAAGCGUGGGGAGCAAACAGGAUUAGAAACCCCGGUAGUCC
rnacentral:rRNA from 1 species